rnacentral:rRNA from 1 species
GACGGGGCCCGCACAAGCGGAGGAACAUGUGGUUUAAUUCGAUGAUACGCGAGGAACCUUACCUGGGCUAGAACGCAUUCGGAAUCAGGCCGAAAGGUCUGCGCCAGCGAUGGCCGGUUGCGAGGUGCUGCAUGGUUGUCGUCAGCUCGUGCCGUGAGGUGUCGGGUUAAGUCCCGCAACGAGCGCAACCCCUGCAUUCAGUUGCCAUCGGGUAAUGCCGGGCACUCUGGAAGGACUGCCAUCGACAAGAUGGAGGAAGGUGGGGAUGACGUCAAGUCAUCAUGGCCCUUAUGUCCAGGGCGACACACGUGCUACAAUGGCCGGCACAACGGGAAGCGAGUUCGCGAGGACAAGCGGAUCCCUUAAAGCCGGUCGCAGUUCGGAUUGAAGUCUGCAACUCGACUUCAUGAAGCUGGAAUCGCUAGUAAUCGUGGAUCAGCCAAGCCGCGGUGAAUACGUUCCCGGGCCUU